rnacentral:tRNA from 1 species
GCCACCGUAGCUCAGUUGGUAGAGCAGUUGCUUCGUAAGCAAUUGGUCAGGAGUUCGAGUCUCCUCGGUGGCUC